rnacentral:rRNA from 1 species
GAUGAACGCUGGCGGCGUGCUUAACACAUGCAAGUCGAACGGGAUCCAAGGGGUGCUUGCACUUUUUGGUGAGAGUGGCGAACGGGUGAGUAACACGUGAGUAACCUGUCCUUUUCUUUGGGAUAAGCAUUCGAAAGGGUGUUUAAUACCUUAUGUUCUGUCUGCCUCGCAUGGGGUGGGUGGGAAAGGCUUUGGCCGGAUUUGGGUGGGCUCGCGGUCUAUCAGCUUGUUGGUGGGGUGAUGGCUUACCAAGGCUUUGACGGGUAGCCGGCCUGAGAGGGUGGUCGGUCACAUUGGGACUGAGAUACGGCCCGGACUCCUGCGGGAGGCAGCAGUGGGGGAUAUUGCACAAUGGGCGAAAGCCUGAUGCAGCGACGCCGCGUGGGGGAUGAAGGCCUUCGGGUUGUAAACUUCUUUUGCUCUGAACAAGGCAUGCCAGUGGGUGUGUUGAGUGUAGGGGUGGAUUAGCGCCGGCUAACUACGUG